AGGCCUCACCGGUAUGACUUACAUGCAGUCGAGCGGACGUUUUUGAAGCUUGCUUCAAAAACGUUAGCGGCGGACGGGUGAGUAACACGUGGGCAACCUACCUUAUCGACUGGGAUAACUCCGGGAAACCGGGGCUAAUACCGGAUAACAUCUAGCACCUCCUGGUGCCGGAUUAAAAGAGGGCUUCUUGCUCUCACGAUGAGAUGGGCCCGCGGCGCAUUAGCUAGUUGGAGAGGUAACGGCUCCCCAAGGCGACGAUGCGUAGCCGACCUGAGAGGGUGAUCGGCCACACUGGGACUGAGACACGGCCCAGACUCCUACGGGAGGCAGCAGUAGGGAAUCUUCCGCAAUGGACGAAAGUCUGACGGAGCAACGCCGCGUGAGUGAUGAAGGGUUUCGGCUCGUAAAGCUCUGUUAUGAGGGAAGAACACGUACCGUUCGAAUAGGGCGGUACCUUGACGGUACCUCAUCAGAAAGCCACGGCUAACUACGUGCCAGCAGCCGCGGUAAUACGUAGGUGGCAAGCGUUGUCCGGAAUUAUUGGGCGUAAAGCGCGCGCAGGCGGCCUUUUAAGUCUGAUGUGAAAUCUUGCGGCUCAACCGCAAGCGGCCAUUGGAAACUGGGAGGCUUGAGUACAGAAGAGGAGAGUGGAAUUCCACGUGUAGCGGUGAAAUGCGUAGAUAUGUGGAGGAACACCAGUGGCGAAGGCGACUCUCUGGUCUGUAACUGACGCUGAGGCGCGAAAGCGUGGGGAGCAAACAGGAUUAGAUACCCUGGUAGUCCACGCCGUAAACGAUGAGUGCUAGGUGUUAGGGGUUUCGAUGCCCGUAGUGCCGAAGUUAACACAUUAAGCACUCCGCCUGGGGAGUACGGCCGCAAGGCUGAAACUCAAAGGAAUUGACGGGGGCCCGCACAAGCAGUGGAGCAUGUGGUUUAAUUCGAAGCAACGCGAAGAACCUUACCAGGUCUUGACAUCCUUUGACCACUCUGGAGACAGAGCUUCCCCUUCGGGGCAAAGUGACAGGUGGUGCAUGGUUGUCGUCAGCUCGUGUCGUGAGAUGUUGGGUUAAGUCCCGCAACGAGC
rnacentral:rRNA from 2 species